AUUAUCACGCAAAUUAGGUAACUUUUCGGGGUGGGACCUGAGCCGCAUGGCGGCCAGAUGCGAUUUGGAAGAGCUCUUGCACAAAACUCUUACCUUGCCUACUUUUUCCAAUGCCCAUGACGCUUGUCUGGCACUAAAGUUAUCUUAAGGGUCUGUGGAGCUGAUCGGGGUGCUCUAGAGUGCUCCAUUGCAAGCCUGACAACACAACCCCUGAAUAGAGGGUGGGG